GGGGGGGGGGUUGUUGGGGGUGGGGUUGUAGAGACGCCAUCAUGUUAAUUCGCUCUGUGAGUGGAAGGAGGUGUGAUGUGGCUUUAUAUCACUGGUGCAAGCGAUAGGCUGCCACAGUCACCGAGUACUUUUUAAAUCAGACUCAACUCUGACUUGACUGUCACCAUCAAGUCUUUGAGACAGAUUUUUGAUGACUUUAAUCUCAUAUAAAUCAGUUGAAUCAUGAAUUAUAGUAAAUCCAGUGUGAUUGUUAGUGUUGACUGUGUGUGUUCCUGAAGAGCAGCAUGUAGCAGAUAGCCUCUCUCUGAUUGUUCUGAUUGCUGCAAGAUUCUUUGACAAUGAAGAUCCGUCACAUUUGGGAACUUGACCCUCGGGACUUGCUGUUCCUUCCUCUUUUGUCCAGUUUCUUCUUUGUUGUUGUGUUGUGUCUCCCACCACACAUUCAAAUGGCAAUAACAAAAGCACAUCAGACAAUGGUGCACCCAAACACAGAUCCUGGUAUGCCGUGACCACUGGAUGACCUCUUGCCCUCUUUGCUCUGCCCUCAUUCGGACGAUUAAGGCUCCCCGGCUACAUUCGUAUGCAGACGCUCUAAAAGACUUUGAUCAUGCAGCAAACACGUGAAGAUGCAACAUGGUACACUCUUGGCCGUGGGUGCCGCAGGUUGGUAAUGUUUUUCCUGGACCGCUGUUGCACAGAUCUGUCACCAACUAGUACUGAAUAAUUUUAAUCAGUUAGUAGGACAUGAACAUAUGUUUACUUUACUGACACGAUGUGUCAUUCCUCACAUGUUUUAACCCCUGGUUAUCGUUUGGAAUGUUUUAGCAAUAAUUUCACGAUUUCAUAUUUGGGGGUUUUAUCAGCACAUCUGUCCGGCAGGUCCUUUGUUAAGGACGGCUACCUAAAUCCUUUAAUUUUCCACGUGUUCCUUUUAUGAGCUCCCGCUCCCUUACGCUUUACUUUCUUACAUUGUUUUGAAUGUGUCUAAUCUAAAGCCAACUUUUUUGAGUUUUAUCAUGAUCCUCCAAUGUCAAAUCGAGUGGAGAGCCGUCCUCCACACUACUCGUUGGUACGCCAAGUUAAAAAAGGGUUUGCUUUUAGAAGGCUCCUAUUACACUGUAUAAAUACACAACAGCUAAUUAUCCCGGGUUAAGGUCCAAUUAUAGUUUUGCUCAGGUUACAACGUGAUAAGGCUUCAUUAGUACAACGAAUAACAUUGAAGGUGAUUGAAAAGAAACCUCACUGGAGUAAAACUGUAAUGUAACUAAUGAACAAAACCAGAGGUGGACAUGCUGCUUGAGAAUGAUGUGACGCAUUCCAGGUUCGAUAAGGACACCAAAAUCUUGUUUUGGGGAUUUAAAAAAAAAAAAAAGAAUAAUUUUACAGUCUCAACUAUAUGUACUACAUUUAACUUUAGGUUUUUAAAGGUACCUGUAUUGUAGAAAUUGUUUUAAUUUGUCACUUUACUGAUUUUUCUGUCAGCAAUAUGAAUGUAUUUGAUUUUUUUUUCUCAAAUGCCAAAGCAUGUAAACAUUAAUCAAGGAAUUUGAAAUCUGAUACACUACAUAGAGAUUAUACUGUACAGAGUCAUAGGCAAUGUGUACUAACUGAUAACUGUUGCCAGAGAGUCUAUAAUUAAAUCUGUGCAAUCAUGA